GACCAGUCCACCUAACACAUCCACACAUGCACCUAGCUUGAGAGUGUCAAUGGAGCAAGUCUCUUGUUUUGGUGGUGGUGGUGGAGGUGGAGGACAUGGUGUUUCAGGUGGUGGAGGGUUCACAAUAGGUGGUGUUGGUGGCUUUAUUGGAGGAGUCACUGGAGGCUUUGGUGGUGGAAGAGUUGGUGGUGCUGGUGGCAUUAUUGGAGGAGUCACUGGAGGCUUUGGUGGUGGAAGAGUUGGUGGUGUUGGUGGUGUUGGUGGCAUUAUUGGAGGAGUCACUGGAGGCUUUGGUGGUGGAAGAGUUGGUGGUGUUGGUGGCAUUAUUGGAGGAGUCACUGGAGGCUUUGGUGGUGGAAGAGUUGGUGGUGUUGGUGGCUUUAUUGGAGGAGUCACUGGAGGCUUUGGUGGUGGAAGAGUUGGUGGUGGAAGAGCUGGAGGUGUUGGUGGCUUUAUUGGAGGAAUCACUGGAGGCUUUGGUGGUGGAAGAGCUGGUGGUGUUGGUGGCAGAACUGGUGGUUUGGGCACAUAUGGUGGUUUUGGUAUGAAGGGCGGAUGCACAAUGGGUGGUUUCGGUUUGAAGGGCGGAUGCACAAUGGGUGGUUUCGGUUUGAAGGGCGGAUGCACAAUGGGUGGUUUCGGUGUAUAGGGCGGAUGCACAAUGGGUGGUUUCGGUUUAAACGGGGGAUGUACAAUGGGAGGUUUGGGAACAACAG
rnacentral:lncRNA from 1 species